GCAAGAACCACUGGGGUGGGACUUUCAGUGGUGUUUAUAAGGCCACUCAGGCUGCCCCUGGAGAGCCGAUGGCAGGGGUCAACCUGGAAGCAGGGAGACCAGGUGGAGGCAACAGAAUGGUCCACGUGGGAGGGUAGAGAUGGCAUUUAAAGCCAGAAGACUGGAUGAGCUCGCCUGGGGAAAGUGUGUACAGCCUGACAAGCAAUGUGAAGGUGGCCUCUGUGUUCCACUGAGAGGUCAGGGGAAUGCAACGGAGACUGUGCAGGAGUACCCGGACAAGCUCAGAGAGGCUGAAUAACCCGCCCAGGGAUACCCGGCUUGGAAGCAACAAAGUAGAAUCUGAACCCAGGGACUUGGGGACAGGGAGCAUGGUGCCAGCCAUCUGGAACCUGACGUGGAACAGGUGCUCUGAGGACAGGGGGCUCUGAAAACAAUACCUGAUGACUGCAAACAGAGCGCCUACAGAAUCCGUGAUGGUAUUAUGUUCAUGGAACAGACAAAGGAACA
rnacentral:lncRNA from 10 species